GACGAACGCUGGCGGCGUGCUUAACACAUGCAAGUCGAACGAUGAAGAAAAGCAUUGAAGCUUCGGCAGAAAUUCAUUUCGGAUUAGUGGCAGACGGGUGAGUAACGCGUGAGCAACCUACCUCUUACAAAGGGAUAGCCUCGGGAAACCGGGAUUAAUACCAUAUAACAUUGCGACGAAACAUUUCGAUGCAAUCAAAGCUACGGCGGUAAGAGAUGAGCUCGCGUCCCAUUAACCAGAUGGUGAGGUAACGGCUCACCAUAGUAACGAUGGGUAACCGGCCUGAGAGGGUGAACGGUCACACUGGAACUGAGACACGUUCCAGACUCCUACGGGAGGCAGCAGUGGGGAAUAUUGCACAAUGGAGGGAACUCUGAUGCAGCGGCGCCGCGUGAGUGAUUAAGGAAUUAGUAUCGUAAAACUCUGUUCUAUGGGAAGAAAAGGACUGUACCAUAGGAGAAAGCUCCGGCUAAAUACGUG
rnacentral:rRNA from 1 species